rnacentral:rRNA from 1 species
AAUCAACGCUGGCGGCGUGCCUCAGACAUGCAAGUCGAACGGUUAAAGCUCUCUUCGGAGAGUGUAUAGAGUGGCGCACGGGUGAGUAACACGUAAGUAAUCUACCUUUGAGUGGGAAUAACGUCCGGAACGGACGCUAAUACCGCAUAAUGCAGCGGCAUCGCAAGAUGACAGUUGUUAAAGAUUAUCGCUUGAAGAGGAGCUUGCGGCAGAUAGCUAGUUGGUAAGGUAAUGGCUUACCAAGGCUACGAUCUGUAACCGGUCUAAGAGGACGGUCGGUCACACUGACACUGAAUAACGGGUCAGACUCCUAC